CAAGUCGAGCGAAUCAAUGGGAGCUUGCUCCCUGAGAUUAGCGGCGGACGGGUGAGUAACACGUGGGUAACCUGCCUGUAAGAUUGGGAUAACUCCGGGAAACCGGGGCUAAUACCGGAUAAUACUUCGAACCGCAUGGUUCGAAGUUGAAAGAUGGUUUCGGCUAUCACUUACAGAUGGACCCGCGGCGCAUUAGCUAGUUGGUGAGGUAACGGCUCACCAAGGCAACGAUGCGUAGCCGACCUGAGAGGGUGAUCGGCCACACUGGGACUGAGACACGGCCCAGACUCCUACGGGAGGCAGCAGUAGGGAAUCUUCCGCAAUGGACGAAAGUCUGACGGAGCAACGCCGCGUGAACGAUGAAGGUCUUCGGAUCGUAAAGUUCUGUUGUUAGGGAAGAACAAGUACCAGAGUAACUGCUGGUACCUUGACGGUACCUAACCAGAAAGCCACGGCUAACUACGUGCCAGCAGCCGCGGUAAUACGUAGGUGGCAAGCGUUGUCCGGAAUUAUUGGGCGUAAAGCGCGCGCAGGUGGUUUCUUAAGUCUGAUGUGAAAGCCCACGGCUCAACCGUGGAGGGUCAUUGGAAACUGGGGAACUUGAGUGCAGAAGAGGAAAGUGGAAUUCCACGUGUAGCGGUGAAAUGCGUAGAGAUGUGGAGGAACACCAGUGGCGAAGGCGACUUUCUGGUCUGUAACUGACACUGAGGCGCGAAAGCGUGGGGAGCGAACAGGAUUAGAUACCCUGGUAGUCCACGCCGUAAACGAUGAGUGCUAAGUGUUAGAGGGUUUCCGCCCCUUUAGUGCUGCAGCUAACGCAUUAAAGCACUCCGCCUGGGGAGUACGGGUC
rnacentral:rRNA from 1 species